UUCUGAUUAGUGGCGAACGGGUGAGUAACACGUGAGUAACCUGCCCUUCACUUUGGGAUAACCGCCGGAAACGGUGGCUAAUACUGGAUAUGACCUUGUUCCGCAUGGGGUGGGGUUGAAAGAUUUUUUGGUGGGGGAUGGGCUCGCGGCCUAUCAGCUUGUUGGUGGGGUGAUGGCUCACCAAGGCUUCGACGGGUAGCCGGCCUGAGAGGGCGAUCGGCCACACUGGGACUGAGAUACGGCCCAG
rnacentral:rRNA from 1 species